UACGUAGGGUGCAAGCGUUGUCCGGAAUCAUUGGGCGUAAAGCGCGCGUAGGUGGCUUUGUAAGUCCGUUGUGAAAGUCAAAGGCUUAACCUUGAAUGCCGAUGGAUACUGCGGAGCUAGAGUACGGAAGAGGCGAGUGGAAUUCCUGGUGUAGCGGUGAAAUGCGCAGAUAUCAGGAAGAACACCCGUGGCGAAGGCGGCUCUCUGGAACGCAACUGACGCUGAGACGCGAAAGCGUGGGGAGCAAACAGG
rnacentral:rRNA from 1 species